rnacentral:lncRNA from 1 species
GGUGGAGCCUAGCAGUUUGGCCCCAGAGUUUUUGUCUUUAACCUCUUUGCCUUCUUGCCUCAGCGAACUGAGCUUGGCAUAGAGAAAACUCCCAUCCCCAGAGGAAAAGAAACCGGGGAGAGAGAAAGAGGCAGAGAGAGGCUGUGGGUUGCAGUGUUUGGCUCCAAGUGGGCUCAGGUCGCCUGUCUGAGCAAGAGAGACCAACUGCUGGAAAGAGGAAGCGGCGAUGAGAGCCCUGCUGAGAGCUGACCCUGGCUCUGACCCCUCUGGACUCUCUAAAAGCAGAGAAAUGAGAGCUGAUUUAUGUCCUGACCCUUUAACACUACUCUGAAAGCGGGUGGUGACCUUAUUUAUCUUAUUCACGGCUGUGUCCCCACUGGUUUCUCUCGGGUGCUCAGAAAAGCCUUGUGGAAUUAACGUGGAAAGUGACUGGCCUGGUGUCAGACACCAUCGUUUAAACUUAGGUCUCUUUGCCCUGAGGUGAAGCGGGAUGUUCUCAUUUCCCUGCGUUCUGGACGGGAGAAUGAAUGGAAUUUAGGUUCUUGUGUCUGGAAACAGCCCUGCUGCACCCAUCAAGGCUGGGGGAGAAGCUCACAGCAUUUAUGAUUCAAUUCAACUCAGUGUGCAUCUCUUCGGCUCUGAGCACGUACCCAGCAUUGUAUCUGGUGUCCCAAUAACACUAAAGGAACUGAAGACAGGCAGCAUCUCAGCCUUUGGGAAGCUUCUCCUACAGACACGGAGAUAAAGUGAACGUCUCAAAGCAUCUUACUCUUUCUCUUCCAGUGUGAAAUGAGGAGCUUGUUUUUAUCACAUGUAUGCUCCUACUACAUGGGAAAUCUCUCUCUCUGCUAAUUGCUGUCAUCAUCCAUCAAGAUCACCAACAGAGCAGUAUUCCAGCCAGAGAGGCCUUGGGGCCCAGUCCACUCCAGGGAAUGAAAGGAGAAGCAGCAAGGGGCGGUGGAAGAAUCCUGAACCGGGUGACAGGACACGUGGAUUCUCGCCCUGGUGACGGGCCACUCCAUUCACCUCAUAAGGCUCCGUGUCCUUGGCUGGGGUGGGAGGGAGAUGGGUUAGAUUCAAGGGUCGUGAACCAUUGGCCUAAUCUAGCCCUCAGAAAUGUCUGCUUGGCCUAUAUGGUCCCUAAAAUAAUCCAAGUUAAUUUCCAGAAUUUAAAACUCAGACUAGGUUUUAUAUGAGCACCCCAGUGUUUACUCAGCACUAAUCACAAUAACCAGGACAUGAAGCAGUCUAAACGUGCACUGACAGAGGGGCGGAUAAAGCAGAUGCGGUAACACAUAUAUACCGCAGAAUAUUAUUCAACCAUAAAGAAGAAAGAAAUAACACCAUUUGCAGCAAGGGGGAUGGUCCUAGAGAUGGUCAUACUGAGUGACAUAAGUCAGAGAAGGACAGAUAUCAUAUGAUACCACUUAUACGUGAAAUUAAAAAAAAGGGCACAAAGAAAUUUAUUACAAAACAGAAAUAGAAUUACAGAUGUAGAGAACAAUCUUAUGGAUAACAGCGAGGGAAAGGGAGGAUAAAUUGGGAGACU